UUUGACCUCGGAUCAGGUAGGAAUACCCGCUGAACUUAAGCAUAUCAAAAGGCGGAGGA
rnacentral:rRNA from 1 species